GACGAACGCUGGCGGCGCGCCUAACACAUGCAAGUCGAGCGGGGUUAUACGGAAGCCUGCUUCUGUAUAACUUAGCGGCGGACGGGUGAGUAACGCGUGAGUAACCUGCCCGUAAGACGGGGAUAACACAGAGAAAUCUGUGCUAAUACCCGAUGAAGAAAUUUUGCUGCAUGGCAGGAUUUUGAAAGAUUUAUCGCUUACGGAUGGACUCGCGUUCGAUUAGAUAGUUGGCAGGGUAACGGCCUACCAAGUCGACGAUCGAUAGCCGAACUGAGAGGUUGAUCGGCCACAUUGGGACUGAGACACGGCCCAGACUCCUACGGGAGGCAGCAGUGGGGAAUAUUGCGCAAUGGGGGGAACCCUGACGCAGCAACGCCGCGUGAAGGAAGAAGGUCUUCGGAUUGUAAACUUUUGUCGCAAAGGAAGAAAGAAAUGACGGUACUUUGUGAGAAAGCCACGGCUAACUACGUGCCAGCCGCCGCCGUAA
rnacentral:rRNA from 1 species